rnacentral:lncRNA from 1 species
CCCAACCUCACCACCUGCCUCUACCACACCGACCACGCCCUCUUCUCCCUCACCUGGUCCCGCUCCUUCCUCGGCCGCUCCCUCCACCUCAACCUCCUCCACCACUCCUUCGACUCGCCCCUCCCUCCGUCGCUCUCCUCCCCUUACUUCCACCUCCACAUCAAGCCCUUUCUCUUCUGGAAGAAGCACGGCUCCAAGAAGCUCUCCCCCAACAUUCUCCUCUUCUGGGACCUCUCCAAAGCCCGGUUCAGCUCCGGACCUGAACCCCAAUCCGGGUUCUACAUCGCCGUCGUCGUCGACAACG